rnacentral:rRNA from 1 species
AGUGAACGCUGGCGGUAGGCCUAACACAUGCAAGUCGAACGGCAGCACAGUAAGAGCUUGCUCUUACGGGUGGCGAGUGGCGGACGGGUGAGGAAUACAUCGGAAUCUACUUUUUCGUGGGGGAUAACGUAGGGAAACUUACGCUAAUACCGCAUACGACCUACGGGUGAAAGCAGGGGAUCUUCGGACCUUGCGCGAUUGAAUGAGCCGAUGUCGGAUUAGCUAGUUGGCGGGGUAAAGGCCCACCAAGGCGACGAUCCGUAGCUGGUCUGAGAGGAUGAUCAGCCACACUGGAGCUGAGACACGGUCCAGACUCCUACGGGAGGCAGCAGUGGGGAAUAUUGGACAAUGGGCGCAAGCCUGAUCCAGCCAUACCGCGUGGGUGAAGAAAGCCUUCGGGUUGUAAAGCCCUUUUGUUGGGAAAGAAAAGCAGCAGGUUAAUACCCCGCUGUUCUGACGGUACCCAAAGAAUAAGCACCGGCUAACUUCGU